CAGCCGUAAACUAUGCGCGUUAGGUGUAUCGGUGACCACGAGUCACCGAGGUGCCGAAGGGAAACCGUGAAACGUACCGCCUGGGAAGUACGGUCGCAAGGCUGAAACUUAAAGGAAUUGGCGGGGGAGCACCACAACAGGUGGAGCCUGCGGUUUAAUUGGACUCAACGCCGGGAAGCUCACCGGAUAAGACAGCGGAAUGAUUGCCGGGCUGAAGACUCUGCAUGACUAGCUGAGAGGAGGUGCAUGGCGUAGACGUCU
rnacentral:rRNA from 1 species